GUGGAUUAGAUACCCUGGUAGUCCACGCAGUAAACGAUGCAGACUAGGCGUGGGGGGACUUGACCCCCUCCGUGCCGGAGCUAACGCGGGAAGUCUGCCGCCUGGGGAGUACGGCCGCAAGGCUAAAACUCAAAGGAAUUGACGGGGGCCCGCACAAGCGGCGGAGCGUGCUCUUUAAUUCGUCGCAACGCGAAAAACCUUACCAGGGCUUGACAUGGACCUGCAUCCCCGGGAAACCGGGUGGCCUUCGAGGGUGGUCCACAGGUGCUGCACGGUUGUCGCCAGCU
rnacentral:rRNA from 1 species